rnacentral:lncRNA from 1 species
CCGGGACUUAGUGCAGUCAGAAAAGAAGGAGAGCCCCAAAAUGUAAGAGGCUUAUUAUGGAAGUGACAAGAAUGACCUUCCCAAAAAUCAGCCUGUGAAAUUGCAUUGAUUCUCAGUAUGCAGAAAAUCAAACUAAUGAGUGCUAUUUUUAUUGUUGUUGUUGCAAAUAUUAAGGGUGUUCCAACCCACUCUUGCCCGUCCUCCCCAAAACCCAACAGUCACCAAAAUUCUUUCUAAGGAAAGCCCUCGAGAACAGAUCUAUCCAUAUGGGGAUGGGUCCAUCAAGCACACUAGCACAACUAAAUAACUGUCCCAAAAGUCCAUAUGUAAUUAUAAGAUGUUUACUAACCACUCAGAAGUGUCACUAUCAAUGUGAUGCUGAAAUGAAGGGAAUUAAGUUUCUUCAGUGUUCUUCGCUGCAAGUCUCUGUAUUCAAAUUUUGUAAUAAGUCUUUACUUCUGUGAUCUUAAUCUAAAAAUUCAGAACUGUCAUUAAUCACCACAGUAUCUGCAGAGAAAAUAUCUUUCAUCAUAGAGUAAUAACCUUAUUUUGCAUGUUUGCUUUCAUUUCGUAUCAGUUACAAAGACAAAGAAUCAGAUACCAGCAUUUGCUUCGUUCUUUGACUUUUCACUUUUUUUUAAUGAGUCAAAAAGGCCACUAAGAAAAGCCCACCCAGAUACGGGUAAACAAUAUAAACAAAUCAAAAUUGUAAGAUUAACUACAGCAACAACUUCUCAUGACAAUUGUAACAGAUUUUAACAGUUACUCUGGAUUUAUCUUCUAUCGGAAAACACCUGUAACACAUGUACAUUUGUUUUGUUGGCAGGGGAACCCCGAGUUUACAGACAUAAUGGAAGGAUCCUGUUGGAGAAAGACUGACAGACAUGGCCAGAACACAGCCACCAAGCAGAAGGAAGACGUAAAAAACAGAAGACCUUCUUUGUCCUAGAAUGAACUCCUCAUAUUUUAAAACAGCCUACGAACAUCUCAGACCCACUGGAGGCAAGUUAAAGAAUGAUACUGCUCAUUAGAGCUGACAGAUUUUUUUUUUAAUCCAUGUUUUAUUGUUAUGUUCUUUUGAAUAUCAUACUUUGUUCUGUUUCUUGGGAGAAAACAUUUGUAUGAAGUAACAACAUGUGGAAUCUCUCACACAACACAAUAUGCAAUUUGGUGCAAGAGUAAAUUUUUUCCCCUCCCUCAUGAUACAGUGUUAAACAUUAUUCUCAUGGGCAGUAAGCCCGUGCUAACCCUCGAAGCCAAAAAAGCCCCAGUUAAUUGGAAACUCUCAUUUUGUUGCAGCAAAACUGAUUUUUUGGGGGGGGGGAUGGGAGGGGGGAGGGGGAGGGUGUCUAACCCGCAAGUAAUGCCAUGAAAAUCGUGAAUAAUGACCAAGAAAGAAGCAAAGCUUCUCUGUAAGGAUAUGUGCAAAUGUUUCCUCACAUUUGCAACAGGAAGCCAGGCAGGAUGGGUCUGGGGGAAGGUCUGGAAGCUUUAGAGCAAAGUGGAGGGAAAGACAAAAAUAGAUUUUGAAGAAGAUAUUGUCUUCCUUGCUGCAUUAAUCCAUCUUUGGAAUUAGAGGCUAACUAUGUCAGCGUUUCCUUUCCAUUGUGUAAAAUUGAACCUAUAUAAUUUGCAGAAAAUAUCCAGAAACCACACACAACGCCUUCUAUUUUAUCAACAAGUCAAAGAACAAUCUCUGCAGAAGCAUGCAUCUAACUUGGAUUGAAAGCAAAAAAAANGGGAGGGGGGGGGGGCAAAAUAAGGGUUAUCUCCUUUAUUUAAGGAAGCCAGUGUGCACCUGAAAUAUAUUAACUAACUUUUGCCUUCCCAAGAAAGAAUAUAAAGAAUAGCUAUGACACUUACAUUAAAAAGAAUUAAAAUGCUUACCGAAGAAAAAUGGUAUACUUUGGUUCAAUUGUGGUGCAAAAAAAUUUUUGGUGCAAAAAUGGUGCUAUUUCAGAGUAUUUGUAAGGCCAAACACUAGGAAAGCAGGCAACUGUGAGAAAAGCACAGAAAAGGCUAUCACAUCACUGAGGAUUUAAACCCAGUUUUCAGAGGAGCUGCCAAAUGAACUCACUCUGAAACAGGUGUGACAAAAUGGCAUGUUUGUCUGAGCUGGGGAAAACACAAAUCAUCCCACAGAAUUAGCGGGAGCCCCACAGAAUCAAUAACAAGGAAAAAGAAUUUCUGAGAAAAGUUUCAUGACAUUGCCAUGAGGUUGCCACAUUCAGAGAGGAAAAUAGUAGCAGGUACAGUAAAUUUAAAUUACAGAACAAAUGGCAUCUGCCCAGCCUUGUGCUGGUGGUGUGGAUAAAGAAAAUAAUAAAACAAAAAGCCGACCAAUCA